AGUGGCAUACUAAAGAGCGGAACGUUGCCGUGGGAGAUGUGGUAUGGGUGGCUGACCAGAAUGCUCUAAGAGGUCAGUACAAGAUGGCCAGAGUCGUCGAUAUAAAUGCAGACAAGAAAGGAACCGUGAGAGAUGUAAUGGUCAGAGUAUUCCCCAGCUAUCCUGUCUCGAUUGUUAAACCAAACCAAGCAGAAACCGGCAAGAAUGUCAAACCAACAAAAAAGCAUUGUGACAAAAUUCCAGCUACGAUUCUGCGUAGGGAUGUGAGACGUUUGGUAGUUCUGAUUCCCAUUGAAGAACAGUAAAGACAUUUCAGCUAAGAAGUGUGUGUGACCUCCUUCGGUCAGUUGACCAGGAGCUCAAGUGGGAGGUGUUAAGUUGAAUUUGAGAGAAAGAAAAAAAAAAAAGGAAAAAAAAAGAGACAUGGUUAAAAAGUAUAAAUUCAUCAUUGGUAAAGAAGAUUUAAGAUCAAAAUGAGUGCAGCCUAUUGGUUGGGAGCACAUGGUGCAACCUGGGAGAAUCAAGGUAGCUGAUUGGUCAUUGAAACUCCACAUCUCCAAACUCCACCAGGUGUGUGUGAUUACUGGGAGCAAGAGGGAACUUUGUUUGCAGCAAAUGUGCUUCUCCUACUGAAGUUGGUGGGUUUGGUGUUCAAAAUACCAAAGGAGAAAGACUGUUGAAAAGCCACAAUGUUUCAUCAACUUUGAGAUGCAACUGGUUAUUAAGCUAACCUUCUGGAAUUAUCAUUGAGACAAGUACAAAAGAAGAUCUAGUCAAUGAUGAGAGAUUUUCAAUAAACUGCUUCUAUGAUGAAGAACCAGAUGGUUUGAGUUAUUCCAUGCACCUUCAGAGUUGAUUGAGGCCUUUUUCAAGUUUGGGCAGACAU